rnacentral:rRNA from 1 species
GUUCAGAAGGAGAUCAUCAUCCGGAUGCAGCCGGGCUCGGACAAAUACCACAAGAGAGCUCUGAAGGUGGCCGCUGCCAUCAGCGGAGUGGUGUCGAUCACGGUGGCCGGCAGGGACAGGGAUCUGCUGGUGGUCAUCGGCGACGGCGUGGACGAGAGCCAUCUGACUAAGAAACUGAAGAAGGAGGUCGGGGAGGCCGAGAUAGUGCAGCUGCGGACGCUACACGAAGGCACCUCGGCGUCAGGGUAUCUGCCGGGCACGUCCAGGGACGUCGGCGGCGGACAGUCCCGGUCGCCGUACCACCAGCAUCCCAUGAACACUCCCGGCCAGGUCGCAUACCCGGUCUACGCGCCGUCGCCGGCGGCCAAUCCCGGCGCUGCACGGUGGUCGGGAGACCAGAGGCAUGCGGAGGCGGGAUACUAUCCUAGCGCGUCCAGCCCGUCCUUCUACCACGCGUCGCCCGCGGCCGGGCACGGCGGGUACGGGGGCAGCAGCUAUGCAAGCGCGGUGGCGCGCAGCCACCCGGCGAACUACUCCCCGAUGAUCGAGCGGCACCGGCACGACGACGGGAGCUGGCGUCGGCACCACGGCGGGGGAAAGCCCAGCUGCUGCUCGAUACAGUAG